rnacentral:misc_RNA from 1 species
CUUUUAUCAACUCCCUUAUCUUUAUCGAUAAUCGAGCUUGGACUUGGAAGUUGCUGGCGUCCAUUAACCAUGUCAGCUCUUCUCAAUUGCAUUAGCAAUCGCUUACAGUGCAAGUCAACUCCUUGACACACCAAUUAGCCUUUGACAUGGUAAUCAUAAUCCCAUCUGUCAUAGUGAAUUUUUGGUAUUGCUCAUCAUUAGCAUUGCUUCUAAUCCUAAUCCUAGCACUUAGUUACUAGUUGGCUCUAAUCAUCAGCUGACGAACACAAGUACUACUUUCCUUAUC